UACAGAGGUCCCAAGCGUUGUUCGGAUUUAUUGGGCGUAAAGGGAGCGUAGGCGGCGAGGUAAGUCAGGUGUUAAAAUUCGAAGCUCAACUUCGAAGCGCAUUUGAUACUGCUUUGCUAGAGGAGUGGAGAGGAGACAGGAAUUCACGGUGUAGCAGUGAAAUGCGUAGAUAUCGUGAGGAAGACCCAUGGCGAAAGCAUGUCUCUGGAAACUACCUGACGCUGAUGCUCGAAGGCCAGGGGAGCAAACGGG
rnacentral:rRNA from 1 species